rnacentral:rRNA from 1 species
UACGUAGGGUGCGAGCGUUGUCCGGAAUUAUUGGGCGUAAAGAGCUUGUAGGCGGUUUGUCGCGUCUGCUGUGAAAAUCCGGGGCUCAACCCCGGACUUGCAGUGGGUACGGGCAGACUGGAGUGUGGUAGGGGAGACUGGAAUUCCUGGUGUAGCGGUGGAAUGCGCAGAUAUCAGGAGGAACACCGAUGGCGAAGGCAGGUCUCUGGGCCACUACUGACGCUGAGAAGCGAGAGCAUGGGGAGCGAACAGG